rnacentral:rRNA from 1 species
GCGCAAGCCUGAUCCAGCCAUGCCGCGUGCAGGAUGACGGUCCUAUGGAUUGUAAACUGCUUUUAUACAGGAAGAAACCCUACCACGUGUGGUAGAUUGACGGUACUGUAGGAAUAAGGAUCGGCUAACUCCGUGCCAGCAGCCGCGGUAAUACGGAGGAUCCAAGCGUUAUCCGGAAUCAUUGGGUUUAAAGGGUCCGUAGGCGGUUUAAUAAGUCAGUGGUGAAAGCCCAUCGCUUAACGAUGGAACGGCCAUUGAUACUGUUAGACUUGAAUUAUUAGGAAGUAACUAGAAUAUGUAGUGUAGCGGUGAAAUGCUUAGAUAUUACAUGGAAUACCAAUUGCGAAGGCAGGUUACUAGUCAUAUAUUGACGAUGAUGGACGAAAGCGUGGGGAGCGAACAGGAUUAGAUACCUUGGUAGUCCACGCCGUAAACGCUGGAUACUAGCUGUUGGGAGCCAGCUCAGUGGCUCAGCGAAAGUGAUAAGUAUCCCACCCGGUACCCCACCGCUUG